ACAGACAGAAUCAGAGACCAUCCAAUGUCCUGCUCUGUGGGAGGAACACCAGAAGGAAAAGAAUCUCCUUGCUGCAGACCGUAUGACAACUACUGACUUUCAAGCACUAGGAAGAAACCUUCUGAAGCAUUUUCUGUUUGCCACCGUCAGAAACAAGGGAGGAGACUGAUCUUUUGCAAUUGCCUUACGCUGAAGAGUUGGUUAAAAAGCACCUUGGAAUAAAGGAAGCAGAAAACUGAAAACAGGACUGAGAGGAAUGGAGAACUGCCAGUAAGCAGACAGCUGGGAAAAGCUGCAAGAGGAAAUGGCAAAGAGCAUCCAUGCGGCGCUGGUGAGCCCGGGGCUGGAGGGGGUGCGGACAGCCCUGGAGAAGCAGGACAGCAGGGAGAAAACCCAGGGGAAAUGGUGGGAGUGAAUCACUGAGGGCCUCACGGAGGAAGCCAGCGACUGCUCCUCUCCCAGAUGGCAUCCUGUAUCCACUGACACAGAAAAUAAUUUCCCAGGAUUUUCUUUAAUGAAUGACCUAUUAUGAACAAGCUGGAAAAACCCAUACUAUACGAUUCUUCCACAGAAAAACUGAUAAUUAAUAUAAAUGGAAAUAAGCCCCAAAAUAGGAAUCCUUUUUGUUGCUUAAACUGCGCAUGGUAUUUCAUUGUGGUAGCUUGUGCAUUUAAAAAAAAUGCUGUCCAAAUGAUAUUGUCAUGGGUAAUUGUACUAUUAAAAAGACAAAGAAUGGAAACACAAAAAUAUUAUUUCUAGUAUAAUGUUUACUGCAUAAAAUUCUGUUAGUCAGGUUCUUUCCCAUCCCCUGGAUGUUACUUUACACCUAAUCCUUCAUUCUUUCAAUUCUUAGCGUAGAAAAUUAAUGUUAAAGCUACUGCUGCUUCCAUUUUUUUUUUUCACCACCUCAUCUAAAAAGCCUGAAAUACUAUUUUCCCUUUACGUCUUGAGGGUACUUGUGCCUAAUAGGAAUGAAGAAACAUAGGGACGAGUUUAAAUGUGUUGACUGAUUUAUAGCAUAUUUAGACCUUGAAGAACAUGUGUGUAGUGACUAUGUUUAAAUGUGACCCUCGUGUGCAGCCUGCAAAGCCCUACUGCUCUCCGGCAGCAAGUGCAGUCCACUCAUGUCAUACAGCAAUUAGAGCAGCACACUUAGCUACUUGGAUGAACUGACAUUUCUUCAGAGUGGUUUUAAAUAUCAGGAAAAUGUGAGCAACUAUAAGCUAAAACAGGGAGUGCUAUUCCUGAUAUUGUGUUCUCUUGGAAGGAGGGACAUCCAUGAGGAUAAAGGUUCCAGAUUUUAGGGAUGGAUCCUGUAAGUACACUCAGGAGGCAACAACUUCUGACAUCUGGAAGGCCAAAGAAAUAACAGUGGAGUAAGUGGCUUAGACAGAGUUAAGCAAGAGAGGAUAUUCCAACCCCAAGCUGGCAUAGUAGUCUGCUCCACUUCAUUUCAUGUCUCUGCUUCUCUCUGAAGUCAUGUCCCUAAAUCCUGAAAUUUUCCAUUAGACAUGCUCGGUAUUGUCAGUAUUACAUGUUCAGGAUAACUUUUGCACCCUGUCAGAGCUUCGGAAGCACAACAAAUUAAUCUGGAAAUUUGGAUUGUUUCAGACUGCACUGUACUAGGGACACAACAGGAGCUCUGCAGGGAGAAGGAGAGGUGAAGUCACUGAGGAGGGAGCACUUGCACAGAGGGAUUGAUUGCUAUUGAGGAAGGCCAGAAAAAAGUUAAAAACAGCAACAAAGGGAGCGGCAGAAAAGGUGGGAAGAGGAAGUAAAAUGACAAGUGGAAGUGGCACCAUAAUGCUCUACUGUCUCUAAAGCAAAGAAAAAUUAUUUAUUUAUUCAUUUUCAGCCAAAGGGAAAAAAAAAACACUAAGACAUAAAAAGAGACAGAAAGUAGAACAGGAACUAGAACAUGUGAAGAAAAAGGGCAGCAAAGGAAGAGGAGAUUAAGAGAGUGGUGAAACAAGUGCUGGACGUAAAGGAGUUGGUGGGGGAGGAGGCAACACAAAGAGGUCUGAUGUACAGGGCUUUUAGGUAAGUGAAUUUUAUUAGUAUAUGUCAUUUCCUACUUUUUAUUGCAUUUCUCUGGCAACCAUCCAGCAGUUCCAUAACCUAUGGGUGGGUUCCAUAACCUAUGGGAGGUGGCUGCGAGGUCAAAAUGGUAGUUUUUGGCAGAAUAUUGACAUGACUUGAGUCAGGCCAUUACUUGUGGUUGUCAUUAGACAAAUAGUGAAACUGGGUUAAUGGGGCAGGUGAAUGAAUCCUACAGGCUAGGGGAGGUUCAGUUUUCAAAACCUGACUCAUGCAGAAAGGCCCAACUGACUCAGUGCAGUGAAAGCGAUGGCGAGCAAUGGUUUCAGCACUGCAGGGGCCCCAGGGACCUAUUUAGAAGACAGUUCUCAGCUGUCAGAUAUACUUUAGCCUCUCUGCAGACUUAGGAAGGUGGACACUGGAUACGUUUCAGUAUAGUUAACUUCUCUUUAUGUAACCAUGGGAUCCUGAAACACAGCCAUGUGGCAAAACAUGACUUACAUGGAAAAUGUCCUGAACUCUGAAUUUUCGUCU